UCAUUGUCAAAGGCCUUUAAAUAUAAUGUAUGUAUAGAUAUUUGUUUCACACAGUUCUUUGAUUAAACAAAACUGUUUCUCCUCUACAUUAGACGGCAUUUUAACAACAAAGAUAAAAAGAUAAUAAUACAUUAAUUCAGGACAUGACGAGACUAAUAAUCGGUCUACUGUUAUGUGUCAUUGGUCCUGCCUGGGCGAAAAAUACAUAUAUUGUGACGGUACCACGUCAAAUACGAGCUGGUUCAACGGCUGAUAUCUAUAUAGCACCUAUUAAUCCAAUUGAACGAGGGGCUAAUGUAGUGGUUACACUUUUGGACAAAGACAAUACCAAAUUAGCAACUAAAAGGGAGUCAAUAGUUUCA